GCUCGGGUGGCGGAAUAGGUAGACGCAUCGGCUUUAGGCGCCGGUGUCCGCAAGGACGUAGGAGUUCGAGCCUCCUCUCGAGCA
rnacentral:tRNA from 1 species